rnacentral:rRNA from 1 species
UACGUAGGACGCAAGCGUUGUCCGGAAUCACUGGGUGUAAAGGGUGCGUAGGCGGGAAGGUAAGUCAGUGGUGAAAUCUCACGGCUCAACCGUGAAACUGCCGUUGAUACUGCUUUUCUUGAGUUUGGGAGAGGUCGAUGGAAUUCCAGGUGUAGCGGUGAGAUGCGUAGAUAUCUGGAAGAACACCAGUGGCGAAGGCGGUCGACUGGCCCAUAACUGACGCUGAGGCACGAAAGCGUGGGGAGCGAACAGG